GGCUCAGGAUGAACGCUAGCUACAGGCUUAACACAUGCAAGUCGAGGGGCAGCAUGGUCUUAGCUUGCUAAGGCCGAUGGCGACCGGCGCACGGGUGAGUAACGCGUAUCCAACCUGCCUUACACUCUUGGACAGCCUUCUGAAAGGGAGAUUAAUACAAGAUGUUAUCAUGAGUAAGCAUUUUCGCAUGAUUAAAGGUUUACCGGUGUAAGAUGGGGAUGCGUUCCAUUAGAUAGUAGGCGGGGUAACGGCCCACCUAGUCUUCGAUGGAUAGGGGUUCUGAGAGGAAGGUCCCCCACAUUGGAACUGAGACACGGUCCAAACUCCUACGGGAGGCAGCAGUGAGGAAUAUUGGUCAAUGGACGAGAGUCUGAACCAGCCAAGUAGCGUGAAGGAUGAAGGUUCUAUGGAUUGUAAACUUCUUUUAUACGGGAAUAAACGGAUCCACGUGUGGAUUUUUGCAUGUACCGUAUGAAUAAGGAUCGGCUAACUCCGUGCCAGCAGCCGCGGUAAUACGGAGGAUCCGAGCGUUAUCCGGAUUUAUUGGGUUUAAAGGGAGCGUAGAUGGGUUGUUAAGUCAGUUGUGAAAGUUUGCGGCUCAACCGUAAAAUUGCAAUUGAUACUGGCAGUCUUGAGUACAGUUGAGGUAGGCGGAAUUCGUGGUGUAGCGGUGAAAUGCUUAGAUAUCACGAAGAACUCCGAUUGCGAAGGCAGCUUACUAACCUGUAACUGACAUUGAUGCUCGAAAGUGUGGGUAUCAAACAGGAUUAGAUACCCUGGUAGUCCACACGGUAAACGAUGAAUACUCGCUGUAGGCGAUAUACAGUCUGCGGCCAAGCGAAAGCAUUAAGUAUUCCACCUGGGGAGUACGCCGGCAACGGUGAAACUCAAAGGAAUUGACGGGGGCCCGCACAAGCGGAGGAACAUGUGGUUUAAUUCGAUGAUACGCGAGGAACCUUACCCGGGCUUAAAUUGCAACCGAAUAUGGCGGAAACGCUAUAGCUAGCAAUAGCGGUUGUGAAGGUGCUGCAUGGUUGUCGUCAGCUCGUGCCGUGAGGUGUCGGCUUAAGUGCCAUAACGAGCGCAACCCUUGCCGAUAGUUACUAACAGGUCAUGCUGAGGACUCUGUCGGGACUGCCAUCGUAAGAUGUGAGGAAGGUGGGGAUGACGUCAAAUCAGCACGGCCCUUACGUCCGGGGCUACACACGUGUUACAAUGGGGGGUACAGAGGGCUGCUACCACGCAAGUGGAUGCCAAUCCCAAAAACCUCUCUCAGUUCGGAUUGAAGUCUGCAACCCGACUUCAUGAAGCUGGAUUCGCUAGUAAUCGCGCAUCAGCCACGGCGCGGUGAAUACGUUCCCGGGCCUUGUACACACCGCCCGUCAAGCCAUGGGAGCCGGGGGUACAAGAAGUGCGUAACCGCAAGGAGCGCCCUAGG
rnacentral:rRNA from 1 species